GGAAUAUUGCGCAAUGGCCGCAAGGCUGACGCAGCGACGCCGCGUGGAGGAUGACGGCCUUCGGGUUGUAAACCUCUUUCAGCAGGGAAGAAGCGCAAGUGACGGUACCUGCAGAAGAAGCACCGGCUAACUACGUGCCAGCAGCCGCGGUAAUACGUAGGGUGCGAGCGUUGUCCGGAAUUAUUGGGCGUAAAGAGCUCGUAGGCGGCUUGUCGCGUCGGAUGUGAAAGCCCGGGGCUUAACCCCGGGUCUGCAUUCGAUACGGGCAGGCUAGAGUUCGGUAGGGGAGAUCGGAAUUCCUGGUGUAGCGGUGAAAUGCGCAGAUAUCAGGAGGAACACCGGUGGCGAAGGCGGAUCUCUGGGCCGAUACUGACGCUGAGGAGCGAAAGCGUGGGGAGCGAA
rnacentral:rRNA from 1 species